GACGGCCAGGAACCUGAGGAUCGAAGACACCGCUGUCUAUUACUGUGCGAGAGACACAGUGUGAGCAUUCAGUGUCAGACCCGUACAAGAACGGCACGUUGGGAAGUCCAGCUUUUACCAUCAAAGACUAGAGAUCAUGUUAUUGUGUGAGGAAGCCCAUAGAAUGUAACACUGUGACUAUCUUGACUACUGGGGAGCAGGCACCAUGGUGACGGUAACCAACGCGGCUCCAUCGGCGCCCAGUCCCUUCAUUCUCUUCACCUGCGAGGAUCACGGCUCCAGUGGUUCGUUCACCUAUGGUUGUUUGGCGUUGGGCUAUUCCCCUGCAGGCGCCAAUGUUUCUUGGAAGAAAGAUGAUAUACAACUGGAGACCGGAGUGAAGGACUACCCGGCAGUGUUCAAUAAGUUGGGAACUUAUACCCGGAGCAGCGAGUUAACCAUCACCGAGGCGGCGGCAGGGGGAGGUGACAUCUUCUGCGUGGUUCAGCACGACCAAAAAGAGUAUAAAGUGAAAGUACCACUUUCAGUCCCCGUGGUACAUCAUCCUACCGUCACCAUUACCAUAACUGCUCUUGAUGAAAUUAAGCGCAGCAGAAAAGCGAUCGCCGUGUGUUUGGUCAACGAUUUCACCCCAGCCAAAUUUACAGUGAACUGGCUGAAGAAUGGCGCGCCAUUGGAUUCUGGCAUCGUCACCUCUCCCGCCUUCCAGGUGAACGGUAACGGUAACUUCUCGGCGACCAGUCAGUUGACAUUCCCAGCUGAAGAGUGGUUCAAAGAUUUCGUCUAUACCUGCCAAGUCAACCAUGAAAAAGAUUUGAAAAGCCAAAACAUCAGUAUGUCGCCAGAUGAUGGUUCCUGCGACAAACUGAUUAUUACAAUCCUUCCACCACAAGUUGAACAAGAGUUAAUGGAGAUGACCGUGACGUUAACCUGUCUGGUAUCCGAUGCACCUUAUGGUAUCACAGUAUCUUGGAAACGUGACAAUGUACAUUUGGUAUCAGAAAUCCAGCCCACAGGACAUGCAGAUAUCGUAGAGAGCAAAGUCAACAUUUCGACUCAAGACUGGCUGAGUGGGGAUUAUUUCAAAUGCGUGGUGAGCCAUGGUAAUAUGCCAAAGCCAAAAACUGAACGAAUCAACUGGAAGAAAGGUCAACAUCUGCUGCCACCUUCCGUCUCAGUCCUUCUGCCGCCGACAGAAGAAAUCUCCGCGCACAAGACUAUCACCCUCACCUGCUUCGUGAGAGGAUUCUCCCCUCGCAGGGUCUUCGUCACGUGGACACUUGAUGACAAGCGGGUGGAUGAGAGCAAGUACAAGAACACCGAGGUGGAGGCGGAGAACGGCAAUGGCACCUUCUUCACAUACAGCCUGUUAUCCGUUGGGGCAGAGGAGUGGAAUAGCGGAGCCUCCUUCUCCUGUCUAGUGGGGCACGAAGCACUCCCCAUGAAGACCAUCGUCAGAACGGUCAAUAAGUCCAGCGAUUACGCCGACAACGUUCCUCUAGAGGACUAUGAGGAAGACAGAGACAAUAUCUGGACAACCGCUUCCACAUUCAUUAUCUUGUUCUUCCUGAGCAUUUCCUACGGUGCUGCCGUAACUCUGGUGAAGGUCAAGUGACGAUUGAAUGGUGAAAACCGCGCAUUUAUCUGACCGGUCUAUGGACGUCGUUGUAACCAAGGGAAAUGUUUAAAUCAGAAGCGGACAAUGUCAUAAACAAUAGUUUAUUCUGUCUAUCUGACUUGUUUGAUAUUGCCUAGUUACCUUUAGUAUAGCGUUAAUGUAUCAAAAUAUUUUAAUCGUAAUUUGAAUAUCAUGUGAAAAUAAGUCAAUUUUCUCAAACGGUAGACGUUUCUUUUCUUCUUUUUAUCUUUUUUUCUAUACAUUCUCUUUUGCUUUAGCAUGGGCCAUAUUUGUGUCCAUGUUGAAUGCCGUUGUAUAGAAAGUCGGGAACGCUGUUUGUGUGAGAUCGUAAUCUUCAUGUUACAUUCAGACACACUAUCUAUGCCUGUCAUUAUUCUAACAACUUCUACCGUGUCCCACUUCAACCACCGACGCGCCAAAUAAAA